rnacentral:lncRNA from 1 species
UCUAAGCAGACGCCUACCCCCUAUAUUCACUGACUGUGGCCCCUUGACACAGUACACUUUAACCUCCAUGGGAAACUUAAUCAGAGACUGUCGUGAGUGAUGUGACCAACAGCCAAUCAAAACCUCAGAAAACAGAAUAAACAGAAAGUCAGGAUGUGGUCAUGCAGGCUGUACGUUGACUUUAGGAAGACUCUCCCAUUCUUCCUUUUAAAUCAUUUAACAUACAUGAUUGGAUAUCUAGAACAGGAGCCGUGGGAACUACAUACUGGGGGGAGCUUGGUCCUGUUUAUCAUUUUGCUCUCCCUGGUUUAGAGUGACGGCUACAGAACUGAUCCUAUCCAUUCACAGUGAGCUAGACAGAAAGUUCUUAACUAUGGGGCCACCGAAAAUCUUUCCAGCCUGCUGUUCUGCAUGUUGCAUCGAGACAGCAUAUGGUUUUGAUACGCAAAUCCAAUCUGAGAGUUCAUUCAUGUACUGCUCUGUAAUUGACCAUGCAAAUUGCAAUUUCCUACUUUUAAUAUAAACUUUCCUCAUUGCAUAAAUGAAGUACCUGCACGCAUUCCCUUGGCUCCGCUCAUCUGAUCAUCAUAAUAGUCAGAUUUUAGUGGGAGAGCUGCAGCUAGCUGAAGCAGAUGUCCGCACUGUGACAAGGUAUUUAAUUUCUCAGGUCCUUCGUCUUUUUAUUGGAGAUUCAAAUAUUCCCUUCUUCCCUGAAACAGCAUCAUAGAAAAAUGAGACAAUUUGAUGUGUGCCUAAAUAUUUCACCACAAAUCAAGCACAUAUUCAUGAAGUCAAUAAUGCCCAGGGAAGAACAAAGGGUAGUUCGAUGUUAAUGUCUCUCUGAACUUGUAUAUGAUUCAAGUAUCCACGCAAGUAUAUAUUGAGUUUGUAUAAGUUGUUACACAGCUCAUGCUGUACACUAUGAUUUGUGUUAUUUAAAUCAGGCGUUAAAAAUUUUUCAUGAGUGGCUAUGAUACUAACACCAUUUAUUUUGAACACCAAAGCAUUUGUUUGUUUGUCUGUUUAACGUGUGUGUGUUUUGCCUAAGCAUGUAUAUACGUGUACCAAAUGUGUGCCUGGCACUGGAAGAGGCCAGAGGAAGCAUCUUAUUCCCUGGAACUAGAAUUACAAACAGCUGUGAGCCACCGCAUUCGUGCAGGGAAACAAACCUGGGGUCUCUGUAACAACAGCAAGUGCUCUUGACUGCUGAGCCUCAUCCCCAGCCCCACUGGCAUUAUUCUUUUUAAUGAAUUCUAGGGAGCAUAGGCAAGAGAAGCAGGGUUGUGUGGUCUGGCUUUCCUGUAAGAGCUCACAGUGAGAGCCACGGAAGCAGAGAAUAAGUGGUGAUAUCUAAGAUCCAGGAAAUGCUGGUCAGACAGACUUCCAGUUACGUAAGAGGAAUCAGUUUGUAAGAUCUGCUCUGUUAUAACGUGUGCUGUCUAUAGUGAGUAAUAAAUAUACUGCGUCCUGGGAAAUCACUGAGUAUAUUUAAGAGUUCCAUCCACAGAAUAAAUGUGAGUUGAUGCACGCGUUAGCCACAUUGCUUUAGACACUCCACAAUAGAUAUAUGUGUUAAAACAUUACAUUGUAUCCUAUGUACACAUACAUGAAUAUAUUUGUCAAAUACUUUAAAUGAAUUUUAAAAUAGAGGUGAGUGCAAAAAUGAAGUCUAGGUCUUUCCUUAUAUCAUAUUUUUUUUAGGAUUCUAAGAAAGAUAAGUGUGAGAUUAAGUUAGAUACUUACUUGCCUCACAGAUUCACCUGGUUCAUACACCUCCUUUUCAUCAUUUAAACUGUAGCAUAACAAAAUAUUUAGAAAGCUUUGCUCAUUCUAAAGCUUCAAUUUAUAUGCGGGGGGGGGGAUGUCCUAAUAAAAAUUACACAAAGAAACUUUGUCCAGAUUUGGUUAUUGAUAGUUAACUGGAGAAAAGGGUUUCUCAUCUCAUAGAAGCUACUAGACCACAAAAUAUCAACAUCACAGCAGAGUGAAUGUCCUGGAGGAAUGGGCAGAUAAGAGGAACCCCCAUACCUCAGACUCUGGUAUUUGUCAGAGAUAAGCAAUAAGGCUAGGCUUUCAGUUGGUUGCGCCCUAGAAGAAAAUAAAAGGAAAGGCCAGUCUGUGUGUAAAUCUAUACCCUUACUAAUUCCCCCACUUCUAAGAUCUCCAGAGAUCUUUGAAGCUGUAAGAAAUACAAGAAUUGUAAAUGACUAAUUCCAAUUAGCUAGCAAACUGUUAACC